rnacentral:rRNA from 1 species
CCCUUAGAUGUUCUGGGCCGCACGCGCGCUACACUGAUACGUUCAACGAGUCUACCUUACCCGAUAGGGCUAGGGUAAUCUUUUGAAAUCGUAUCGUGAUGGGGAUAGAUGAUUGUAAUUGUUCAUCUUCAACGAGGAAUUCCUAGUAGGCGUGAGUCAUCAGCUCGCGCCGAUUACGUCCCUGCCCUUUGUACACACCGCCCGUCGCUCCUACCGAUUGGAUGAUGCGGUGAACUGUUUGGACCGUAGGCGAGUUUGGGGCAACCCGCUCGUCAAUGGAAAGUUCCGUAAACCUUAUCAUCUAGAGGAAGGAGAAGUCGUAACA